GACAGAGGUGGCAAGCGUUGUUCGGAUUUAUUGGGUGUAAAGGGCAGGUAGGUGGCUAUACAAGUCUGGUGUGAAAUCCCACGGCUCAACCGUGGAACUGCAUUGGAAACUGUAUGGCUUGAGUACUGGAGAGGUGAGGGGAAUUCUCGGUGUAAGGGUGAAAUCUGUAGAUAUCGAGAGGAACACCAGUGGCGAAGGCGCCUCACUGGCCGGUUACUGACACUGAG
rnacentral:rRNA from 1 species